UCCCAGAGGAAGACUGAACCCAUCUCACCAUCACUGGACCCUUUUACAGGAUAAUCUCUACUCCAACAGAACCGCAUCUGUCACUCCAGGAGGACUUAAUUGGACUGCUUCCAAAGCCUGACCAACAAGGUGUCAGGUCAUGUUCUGACUCUAUUACCACAUCAGGCAAAGUUGGGAGGAUGGAGGAAAGACAGAAGAAACAUUGGUGUAUGUGUUGUUGCUGUCUCUCUUCUGCAAAGAGCAUCUCAUAUGUAACACCCUGUCUGUCUCCGGGGGACUCCAGCCCGUGAGAGGUGCCAGUGAUGUGUUCCUGGCCCAGCACUCUGGAGAUCUAAAGCAGACUCAAGUCACAGUGCCCAUGAGAUGGACAGAGAGGCACUGGAUUUAAUAGUACCCUUCCCAAUUAAGUCUGCAGCAUGCUCAAUAUUCAUAUAAUCUCUCUCCACAAUGAUUCAUAUCUUUGGAUUUUUUUUCC